rnacentral:rRNA from 1 species
UACAGAGGGUGGCGAGCGUUAAUCGGAAUUACUGGGCGUAAAGCGCGCGUAGGCGGCUUUGCAAGUCGGGUGUGAAAUCCCCAGGCUUAACCUGGGAACUGCAUUCGAGACUGCAUUGCUAGAGUAUGGGAGAGGGAAGUGGAAUUCCUGGUGUAGCGGUGAAAUGCGCAGAUAUCAGGAAGAACACCCGUGGGCGAAGGCGGUUCUCUGGGACGGUACU